rnacentral:lncRNA from 1 species
GCGGGGCCCCGUUCCCAUAGAGACGCGGCCUCGCGGGCCCCGUCCCCAUGGAGACGGGGCUUCCCGCGGGGCCCGCUGAGGGGGCCGGGCGGGGGAAGGGGAAGGGGCCUCACCCCGCCGGUGUUGGCGCCUCCGGUGUGGGUCGGGGCCCGAAAUAUAAUUCGGUCUACAUUUUAUAUGGUAUCUUCAGAAGAAAUUGCAGUCACUCUCAGAAGUUAAUUCUAACCCAGUUAAAGACCGGCAGAAAUUGGAGAGGCAAAGAAAAAAAUGGAAAUCAUCAUACUAAAGUCUUUCUACAGGAAAAAAAAACCCAACAGAUUAGUUAUCAGACUUCAGUGACAAGAACUAAGGUUGUUUAUUCAUCCAACAUUCCUGUCAGCAUAGGAAUUAUAACAGCCAAUCCAGUUCUCAUCUUAAAGAAUCUAGGAAUCUCUUAUUUACAUUAUAUGAAGCACUGA